rnacentral:snRNA from 13 species
AAACUUAUCUGACGUCAGGUUCAGGGUGAUCAUUAGUGCUGUGACUGCGGUUGAAGGCUCACCAUUGAACCUCAGUGGGUUGAAACUUGUGGUGAACCUCAUUCGGAUGUUCUUGAGCGUGCAGUUUUUGUCAC